GUAGGUGGCAAGCGUUGUCCGGAAUUAUUGGGGCGUAAAGCGCGCGCAGGCGGUUCUUUAAGUCUGAUGUGAAAGCCCACGGGCUCAACCGUGAGGGUCAUUGGAAACUGGAGAACUUGAGUACAGGAGAGGAAAGCGGAAUUCCACGUGUAGCGGUGAAAUGCGUAGAGAUGUGGAGGAACACCAGUGGCGAAGGCGGCUUUCUGGUCUGUAACUGACGCUGAGGCGCGAAAGCGUGGGGAGCAAACAGGAUUAGAUACCCUGGUAGUCCACGCCGUAAACGAUGAGUGCUAAGUGUUAGGGGGUUUCCGCCCCUUAGUGCUGCAGCUAACGCAUUAAGCACUCCGCCUGGGGAGUACGGCCGCAAAGGCUG
rnacentral:rRNA from 1 species